rnacentral:lncRNA from 10 species
UUACAGAAUCAUCAGGGAACACUGGAAGCACAGGAGCGUAAUGUCCUCGAGGUUCAUCCAUGUUGUAGCAUUUGUCAGAAUUUUCUUCCUCUUGAAGGCUGAAGAGCAGUCCGUUGUAUGUACAUACCGCAUUUUGUUUAUCCAUUCAUCCAUUGAUAGACACUUGAGUUGCUUCCACAUUUUUGCUAUUGCGCAUAAUGCUGCCAUGAACAUGGGCAUCAGUUGCAGCUGUUUUUUCUCCAAGAAAAUGACAUCCUGAGCUAAGCCAGACUGUCUCUCGCUUACCCCUCAACUGUGCCAUUUAUGAGAAAAUUCAAACUUUGUCUAAUGCUACAAGCUGGGAAACUAUGUCUACAACCAAAAUAAAGGAUUUAAAUCUUGA